rnacentral:misc_RNA from 1 species
GAUGAAGAACGUAGUGAAAUGCGAUAAGUAGUGUGAAUUGCAGAAUUCAGUGAAUCAUCGAAUCUUUGAACGCACAUUGCGCCUCCUGGUAUUCCGGGAGGCAUGCCUGUUCGAGCGUCAUUAAAAUCACUCAAGCUUAGGUUUACCUAUUGCUUGGUCUUGGAGAUGGAAGCCAAUUCAUUGGAAUCCUCUUCGAAAUCCAAUGGCGAAGACCCUUGCUCUCCCAAGUGUAGUAAUAACUUAUGUCACUGAAGGAAGCGAGAAAUCUUCCGCCGUAACCCCCAUAUUUUCUAUGAUUGACCUCGGAUCAGGUAGGGAUACCCGCUGAACUUAAGCAUAUCAAUAAGCGGAGGA